GGCCACGCUUCAGGUUGGACCGUCUUCCAUAUAUCUACUGACUUCAUAUAAAUGAAAGUGUACUAAAGGCUCACUGAUCUACACUACCAGCUCAUGCUCAACGUUACUGAACAACAAAGUAAUCCGACAAUCAGACUGGACCCGGUCAUGUUAGAUACCAGAGGAAGACGAAAAUAUAAUUGAUUCUGUACUGAUGCAUGACUUCGCUCGGAACGCUGCAAGAAUUAACAAUGGAAGAAAAUACUACAGACUUGUUUAUUAACGAUAAAGUUAUUUUAGUUUUUAUGAAAUAGCGAUUGAAU